AUAACUUAGAAAGUUGGCGCUGCCCUCCGAAGGCAGAGGCCAAAGGUUCGAAUCCUUUCAGGUGCGCCA
rnacentral:tRNA from 1 species